ACUGGUAAGCAUUGUCGGAGAUGGAGAAAAUGUGGGGAGGAGCUUCGGUCCUCUUUUUUCCUCUGUAGGCGGCCACCACCUCAGCGUCGUAAACGGGAAGCCACUUGUACGGGUUGACGGUAACGCAGAAGAGGCCGGAGUAGGUGUAGAUCAUCCAGGCGGCGUAGCGCUCCUUCAGGUUAAACAGCACCGCCGGCUCAUGGAGGAAGCAUUCCGUCUUGAUGUCGAAAGGCCUGGUCUGAGCUUCCAGACGCUCCUUCUCCGACUUCCUGAGGUAUGGCGCCGCGUUCCCAAACUCGCCCAUCGUUGCGUCAGACAUUUUGAGUACAAAGAGACUGAAGCUAAACUGUGACGCCGGGACGAGAGGACACGCUUUUAAAGGCGCCCGCAACACCAAACAAGGAGAUGAGGCAGGAAAAAGGAGAAAAAAUGGACGCUAAAUUUGUCAGUGGAGACGCGACAAGGUCACAGCGGUGACCUUGGACUGUCAGGAGGCCAUAUUAGGAAGAUCACAAACGCUCCUUAUCAAUGUCACCUUGCAGUCCUCUGCUUCUUUUAGAACACAUCAGACCCAGUAGGCUACAUCCGUGACGCCCCUCACAUACGUGUGAUGGUAACAAAUAAAACAACAAAAGAUAACUUAAGUGUUUUGGUCUCAAUUUGAAUGUUAGAUUGUGUGCAUGUGUCUGUUAAUGUGCGCAUGUGUGUGUGUGUGUGUGUGUGUGUGUUGGCCCAAGAAAGUGAGAUGUAUAUGUGCCUGUUAUCAGUGUUACUUAGUGUCUGUUUUUAUCUUAGAGACACUUUUAUUUUAGAAGUGCAUGUGUGUGCGUGUUUGUGGUGACAAUAAAAAGAUGACUAGCUUGUU